CGUUGACGUCAGCGGUCUCUUCCGCCGCAGCCGCCGCCAUCGUCGGCGCGCUUCCCUGUUCACCUCUGUAUUUGAGAAUCCGACGCCAUCUGCCACCAUGGUGAACUUCACAGUAGAUCAGAUCCGUGCCAUCAUGGACAAGAAAGCCAACAUCCGGAACAUGUCAGUCAUCGCUCACGUGGACCACGGCAAGUCCACGUUGACCGACUCCCUUGUGUGCAAGGCUGGCAUCAUCGCCUCUGCCCGAGCCGGGGAGACACGCUUCACUGACACUCGAAAGGAUGAGCAGGAGCGCUGCAUCACCAUCAAGUCCACUGCCAUCUCCCUCUUCUAUGAGCUCUCCGAGAACGACCUGAACUUCAUUAAGCAGAGCAAGGAUGGCUCGGGCUUCCUCAUCAACCUCAUUGACUCUCCAGGUCAUGUGGACUUCUCCUCAGAGGUGACCGCUGCUCUGCGUGUCACUGAUGGAGCACUGGUGGUGGUGGACUGUGUGUCUGGUGUCUGUGUGCAGACAGAGACAGUGCUGCGGCAGGCCAUCGCUGAGCGCAUCAAGCCCGUGCUGAUGAUGAACAAGAUGGACCGGGCCCUGCUGGAACUGCAACUGGAGCCUGAGGAGCUCUACCAGACCUUCCAGCGCAUCGUGGAGAACGUCAAUGUCAUCAUCUCCACCUAUGGCGAGGGCGAGAGUGGACCCAUGGGCAAUAUCAUGAUCGAUCCUGUCCUGGGCACUGUAGGCUUUGGCUCUGGCCAGGCCCUUCCCUGAUGGCC
rnacentral:lncRNA from 1 species